GACCUUAAAAAGUUCCCUAAACAUAAAGGUUUGGUCCUAGCCUUGAACUCAGCCCUCACCUAGUAUAUACAUGCAAGUCUCCGCACUCCUGUGAAAACGCCCUUGACCCCUUCUGGAACAAGGAGCCGGUAUCAGGCACAACAAUUAGCCCAAGACACCUAGCUUUGCCACACCCUCACGGGAACUCAGCAGUAAUUAACAUUAAAUAUUAGCGACAGCUAGAUUUAGCCCAGGUGAAGAGGGCCGGCAAAUCUGGUGCCAGCCGCCGCGGCUACACCAUCAGGCCCAAGUUGAGCUCCUUCGGCGUAAAGCGUGGUUAAAGUUAACACCAAACUAGAAUUAAACUUGAACUAAGUUGUAAUAAGCUUGUUCAUAGGAAAACCACAAACGAAAGUUACUCUAAUACCCUCAACUUGAACCCACGACCGCUUGGACACAAACUGGGAUUAGAUACCCCACUAUGCCUCGCCGUAAACUUUUAUUUACUAACCAAUCGCCAGGAAACUACGAGCUAAGCUUAAAACCCAAAGGACUUGACGGUGCCCCACAUCCAC
rnacentral:rRNA from 1 species